CGGCGGACGGGUGAGUAACGCGUGGGUAACCUGCCUCAUACAGGGGGAUAACAGUUGGAAACGGCUGCUAAUACCGCAUAAGCGCACAGUACCGCAUGGUACGGUGUGAAAAAACUACCGGUGGUAUGAGAUGGACCCGCGUCUGAUUAGGUAGUUGGUGGGGUAACGGCCUACCAAGCCGACGAUCAGUAGCCGACCUGAGAGGGUGACCGGCCACAUUGGGACUGAGACACGGCCCAA
rnacentral:rRNA from 1 species